CGGAGGUGAGUAAUGUCUGGGAAACUGCCUGAUGGAGGGGGAUAACUACUGGAAACGGUAGCUAAUACCGCAUAACGUCGCAAGACCAAAGAGGGGGACCUUCGGGCCUCUUGCCAUCGGAUGUGCCCAGAUGGGAUUAGCUAGUAGGUGGGGUAACGGCUCACCUAGGCGACGAUCCCUAGCUGGUCUGAGAGGAUGCCAGCCACACUGGAACUGAGACACGGUCCAG
rnacentral:rRNA from 1 species